UGAUCAAUACACUCAUUAUCGACCACAGCUGCUGAUCGAUCAGUCUGCGUCGGCCCAGAAACGAUGACGUAAUGUUACAGAUCAGCUUAAACUAUCGAUCCUCAGAGAGAGGCUCAGUCACACACCUCAGAGGGGAAACGGGACCCCUUUCUUCUUUUGUGGUUAAUAAGUUUUUACAUUCAGCUCAGAAGUUUUACACUUGUAACGUCAAAUAUUCAAAUAAAAGUACACAAAUGUAUGAAUGAUGUGCUUUUACUGCAACAGAGUCCCUCUGAGCUGCAGUAAAACCCGAGUUUGCUGCAGUAAAAUCAGACCUUGUGUCUGUUAGCAGGUGCAGGUAGUAAGCUGUGCACACCUUUACCUGCAUCUUCAUAAGUAGCUGACUAACUGCCUGUAUCCGUUGCUCAUACUGAGGCUGCGGGUCAGCCACCCUGCCUCUGUGAGCCUCUGCAGGGCGACGGUGUGGAGCCGUGUGGGGCUCUGAGGGUCUGAUGAAGGUUGUUGUUGUGUUGUUGUGCCUCUGCGGUUUACUUCUUCACUCACUCUAAGGAGCCUCCACAGUAAUGACAUGUUAGCUGUGGCUGUUAGUGGGACACACGGCAGGUCAAAGGUCAGGGUCGAGGACACUGCCUUGUUUCCGUUAGUGUUUCUGUCACGUUUGAGUUCAGUUCACAUAACAACAGGACAGCAGAGAGUUUCAGGCUUUAGGUUGAAACAACUAAACGUGUUUGUGUUCUCACUGUUUUAGUUUUAACAUAGCACAAACGUAAAACAUGGUAUAAAUCUAAACUGUGACUUAAAGUCACUGUUUAAAAGAUAAUAAGUGUAAAAUGUGUGUGGUGAUCAGAUUAAAAAUCAGAUUCACUCAAAAAUCCAAAUUAUAACCUUUUUAUAUUUUGUGCAUUACAGUAAAACUUUAACUGAAAACGUUUGUGUUUUUAUAAAAGUGUCAAACAUUUUGUUAACGUGUUUCAUUUACAUCAGGAUAAAAUCAGCAAGAGCCAAUCAGAUAUCACGACAGCAAACACGGAGGGGAAAAUAAAUAAACACAUGAGAAUAAAAUGAUAAGAAAUGAGGAAGCGUCCUGUUCACUGAGAAAUAAACAGAAAAAUUCAGUAAAGUCACAUUAAAAUGAAUGUGACUUUAGUGUCACUGAUUCA